CUCCAUCACGUUUUUGCUAUCGAUCUAUUUUCCUCUGUCUCUCGCCAGUCGCUGUGAACCCUCUCGAAUCAACAAAUUUCUCUCGCUCUCUUCGCACACAAAUCCAAAACCAAAGAACCCAAUCCAAAUCGCUCUUGCUCUCACUCGAAUCAACAAAUUGCUUUUAUAAUUCAUGAUUUGUUGCGUGGCUUCUAGAGAACUGAGAGAGAGAGAGAGACCUGAGUUUUGGAGGAAGACCUCCAUCCAUCUGGUUUUGUUUUGAGAUCGAUCUCAAUUAUUUAGGGAUUGCUGAUAGGUUUUCCAUUCGAUCGAGAGCACCUGAUUUUGGAACCAGUUUGCAGUCAGAUUCCUUGAAUCUUUUGGAUCCAGCUAUACUUGAACGAUUGAAUCAACUUUUGUCAUCAGAGGUGAUCAACUUGGUUUAGGAAUGCUGAUUAUUUUACUCUGAUUAUCC